rnacentral:tRNA from 1 species
GGGAGGUAAGUUAAUUAAACUACGGGGUUCAUGUCUCCAUAAUAUACUUUUGUGUUCUCCU